rnacentral:rRNA from 1 species
CUCAGACAGCCAGGAUGUUGGCUUAGAAGCAGCCAUCAUUUAAAGAAAGCGUAAUAGCUCACUGGUCGAGUCGGCCUGCGCGGAAGAUGUAACGGGGCUAAACUAUGCACCGAAGCUGCGGCAGCGAUAUUUAGAUAUUGUUGGGUAGGGGAGCGUUCUGUAAGCCUGUGAAGGUGUGCUGUGAGGCAUGCUGGAGGUAUCAGAAGUGCGAAUGCUGACAUAAGUAACGAUAAUGCGGGUGAAAAACCCGCACGCCGGAAGACCAAGGGUUCCUGUCCAACGUUAAUCGGGGCAGGGUGAGUCGACCCCUAAGGCGAGGCAGAAAUGCGUAGUCGAUGGGAAACGGGUUAAUAUUCCCGUACUGGUGAUAAUUGCGAUGGGGGGACGGAGAAGGCUAGGCUAUCCGGGCGACGGUUGUCCCGGUUUAAGGAUGUAGGCAGGUGAAUUAGGCAAAUCCGGUUCACUAUAUGCUGAGGUCCGAUGACGAGUCACUACGGUGAUGAAGUAGCUCAUGCCCCGCUUCCAGGAAAAGCCUCUAAGCUCUAGAUUAUCAUUAAUCGUACCCCAAACCGACACAGGUGGUCAGGUAGAGAAUACUCAGGCGCUUGA